GAUGAACGCUGGCGGCGUGCCUAAUACAUGCAAGUCGAGCGAACAGACGAGGAGCUUGCUCCUCUGACGUUAGCGGCGGACGGGUGAGUAACACGUGGAUAACCUACCUAUAAGACUGGGAUAACUUCGGGAAACCGGAGCUAAUACCGGAUAAUAUAUUGAACCGCAUGGUUCAAUAGUGAAAGACGGUUUUGCUGUCACUUAUAGAUGGAUCCGCGCCGCAUUAGCUAGUUGGUAAGGUAACGGCUUACCAAGGCAACGAUGCGUAGCCGACCUGAGAGGGUGAUCGGCCACACUGGAACUGAGACACGGUCCAGACUCCUACGGGAGGCAGCAGUAGGGAAUCGUCCGCAAUGGGCGGAAGCCUGACGGAGCAACGCCGCGUGAGUGAUGAAGGUCUUCGGAUCGUAAAACUCUGUUAUUAGGGAAGAACAAAUGUGUAAGUAACUAUGCACGUCUUGACGGUACCUAAUCAGAAAGCCACGGCUAACUACGUG
rnacentral:rRNA from 1 species